GCCGGGCGCAGUGGCGCACACCUGUCAUCCCAGCUGCUCAGGAGGCUGAGGCAGGAGGAUCACGAGUUCAGGGCCAGCCUGGGCAGGUUAGUGAGACCCUGACUCAA
rnacentral:sRNA from 1 species